rnacentral:rRNA from 1 species
CACGUAGGGGGCGAGCGUUGUUCGGAAUUACUGGGCGUAAAGGGCAUGUAGGCGGCCUUGUAAGCCUGGCGUGAAAUUCCACGGCUUAACCGUGGGAAUGCGUUGGGAACUGCGAGGCUUGAGUGACGGAGAGGGAGCUAGAAUUCCUGGUGUAGGGGUGGAAUCUGUAGAGAUCAGGAAGAAUACCAAUGGCGAAGGCAAGCUCCUGGCCGAUGACUGACGCUGAGGUGCGAAAGUGUGGGGAUCAAACAGG